rnacentral:misc_RNA from 1 species
CUUGGGCGCAGCAGCGCGCGUCUUGUUUUGGUUUCUCCUGCUGAGGCCGCUCCUGCGGGGCCUCUUUUGCUUUUCGUCUACCCCGCGCCUCAAUUGUGGGUGCGUGUGCCUUUGUUUGGUGUCGGCUCCCCACUGAAGUGUGUCACUGCGCAUGUUCUCUGUUCUUCCGUCUUCACAUUUUUUUUGUUUCUGUUGCGUCUGUGGAACGUCUCCAUCCUCUGCUCCGUUUUCUCCCCCCAGAAAACGUGCUUCGGCGGCUCUCAUCUCUUCCUCCACAUGGUUGCUCGCCUCUUUUUUUCGCUCUGGUCGGCGUUGGUACUUCUGCGGUUGUUCGGCCCUCCUUCUCGAUCCACCCGCGACUCAUGAAUCGUCCUUUGCCACCUGCUUGCUUUCAUUCUCUCUUUGCAUAUUUUGUGCACCCGCUCCUCGGUAUCGUAGAAGCCGCCCUGCCCUCACACCGCUUCUCUCUCCCUUCACACACGCGCCAAGCUUCCCACACGGGCACACGGGCACCAGUGUCUCGCCACCGUCUCGCCCUCCUCUUCCUUCUCCUGGUCUUUUGUUCCGCUCUGGACCAUGCUUUUCUGCUAAGCGCCGCGGUACCCCAUUCUCUCCUGCUCCCUCUGCCGCCUUCUCUGGCACUGGACCGUCCGCCACCCUCUCGUCUUCCACUUUGCUCUCGUGAAGUGCCUGUGGAGGACAGUAAUGCAGCGCUUUAGCCACUUUCUGAUCCAGGACAGCGACUCGGACAUCGCCGAUGAGGCUGCGCCGCGCGUGAACGAGCCCACCAAUGCGGCGGAUGGCUCCUCGCACGGCUCCGCGGUACACGAAUGCGCCAGCAACGACACCCUGCACUCUUUGCCGCGUAAUGCUGAGAAUGAGGCACCGGCUGCAACGCAGCCAGCAGCCCCGCCGGCAGCCCCGCCAUUGGAGCACACGAUGGACAGAGACGGGCCGCCGACGUCUUCACCAAACCCGUUGCCGCCUACCUCACCUGACCCCCACAGGCUAGACGGAUCGGCGGCGUACCAGACCUCCUUGCUGCCGUCGUCGCAUCAACAUGCCAGCGCCAGUGCAGCGGCAAGAGGGGCGCCUAGCUCUCAGCAAAGGGACGCCGCCGACGCCGAGGCGCACGAUUCGGUGCGGUCGGUCCAUGCCAGCAACGUCCCUCCACACGCCGACGAGGUGGUAGCCCCACCGACGCAGAAGAAGGCGUCUGCUUGCUGUAGGCUUUUCUCCUUCUGCAAGCGGGGAAAGGCAUGCGCUUGCUGCAGGCUCUUCUCCAUCUGCAAGCGGAAGAAGACAUCGACAGCGGCGGUGAGAGGCAACGAGGCUCAAUCAGCGCAGGCAUCCGCGGAGGAGACGACCUCCAUCGAGGCACAGGAUUCCCCUGCACGCUUCGUCGCGGCAAGGGCGACCGAGGGUUCCUCGGAGCGAGCGCUAAGUAUUCCCGUCGCGGAAGGCGCUGCCUCCCCUGAGCAUUCGUCAGCGCAGUCCAGCAAGACAAACUGUGCACAGUCAAAGGAGGAGGAGGAGGUCAAAGGAGAGGAGGCUUCGUUGCAGCGGUCCAGACACGGGUCCUCUGCAGACGCGUUUGCUGGACACUCAGCUCCCGACGCUGCGGAAGACGGCGGUGCCUCGAAAAACAACACGUUGCCAGUACCCUACGUUUCGCAAGGCCCAGAUGCGGUUCACAAAGAGCCAGACGAUCCGGCGACGGCGGCCGCAGGAUCGGGCGACGCUGAGAAGCCUGCAACCAAGGGGCGCCAUGUGAAGCGCGUCAAGGCGGUGGUGCGGCGCCGUCGGUCGAAACUGGCGAACGGGAACGGCGACAGCGCCGGAUCGGCGGGCUCGGACAAGGCAUCUGACAUCAGCGAAGAUGAGCAGCGGUCUGCACACAGCGCAGAGGCUAGGGUAGCAAAGGCGUCCGCGACCCCGUCUGUUCCUCUUGACAGAGAGAAGAUGCCGUCGGCAGCGACGCCCUCUGCCUCGUCCUUCAAGGCCAAGCCGCCGUCACCGCACUCGCACGCAACUGUUGCCGCGCCGGACAGCCCCACACACACCGGCAGUGCGAGCUAUAAGGGCUCUGGUUCCUACUCCUACUCGUACGGGUACUCAAGCAGCUAUAGUGCUUCGAACAGCCUCGCCGCAUCGCGCACGGCAUCCUCGAGCAUUGGUUCGGCGCAGAAACCGGUUGCCUCGGAUGCCCCGCGGCGACGAUCCGCGCAGGCUUCUUCUGCGCGGUCUAUCGUGCGUAGUGCCCACGUCGCCUCCUCCGCCACGAAGCGCAGCCCCAUGCCCACUAGCAUACUCCUGCAGGAAGAGGAGCUCCCCCUGUCCAUGCCAGCGUAUCGGCGGCGCGUUUUGCUCGACUUGCGCGCGCGGGAAAGGCGCGACGCUGAGGAGGCGGCGAGGGAGUGGCGCGACCUCACCUUCCGACCUCAAAUACACAACCCGUACAACAACUGCCUCGACACGUCACCGGCGGUGACGACGGACCGCAGCCACUCGCCCUUCAGCGAGUCUCACGGGUUUCCCGGGUAUUCCUCUGCGUCCGGCUUCUCAGAGCCUUCCCCGGGCCGCUACCGGAUUCGCCGCGUCUCCCCCCGCCUGUUGCAGUCGCGCCGUGCACCGCAGCAGCCCGCGCCACCGCCGUUCAAGCCCGUCAUCUCCGAGUACGCGAAGAAUUCGGUAAGACCGAAGCUCAAUGUCUUCACGCGCCUGUACAAGCCCCGCAGCUCCUCGCCGCCAGCGCCGGGUGGCACCUACCCGCACAAGCCGGAAAUUUCAAAGCUGGCGUGUGAGCUGUACACGCGCCGCCGCUCUGAGGGCGACGACGCAACACCGCCGCGCAGGUCGGUGUUCGACCGCCUCUACAACGUGCGCCGGUCCCCCAGCUCCAGCCCUACUAAGUCUCCCUCCCGCUCUGCCAUGCGCCGGCCGUCUUUCAAGCCCCAAAUCACUGAGAGGGCACGCCGCCUGUCGGCGAUGCUUCCGAAGGUGCCGUUUGGCGAGCGGCUUUACCGCAACAGCCUCUCGCCGAGGCGUGAGAACCAUUCCCCGUUCCGCGCCCGUGAACAGUUCCGAGGCGACUACGGCACCGAGCAGGUUAUGACGAACGACAGAAGUAAGGACAGAUGUUCCUGGUCGUCACAGUCGUCUAUUGCGGUGAGGGUUACGGCGACCGCGUCGACGGAUCUCGACCGCCGCUUAUCGCAAACCCAAGCCACGCUGGAAGAGAUGUAGCCAUCAACCACGGGAUCUAUCUUGAAGUGUAGUAGUUGGGGAGACGCUGAUGAUCUGUGUCGACGGCGCUCAGUGCAAACAUCUUGUUCCAAGCACCUAUCCAACGCUGCCUGCGAGGGGCUUGUCAUCACUUCAGAGUUGAACACCUUCCUGCCUUCUCUUGUGCUCUCUCUUUCUUCCUGCAUCUUUCGCAAAUGUGCCUCCUUCCUUCCUUUCUCCCGCCCUUUUGUUGAGGGCGCAGGCUCCCUUCGACCCUCUCCGUGUGUGCGUGUGCUUGUGGUGCGUCUGUGUGUUCUUGUGCGCUGCCUUGCCGCCCCCCUCCUCCUCCCCGUCGAAGAGUAUCGGGGCUCCGGGUUUAGGGGGAGGACGCAAACGUGGCGGAGCGCGUGGCGACAUCACGUCGCUCGCCGUGUCUGCAGAGUCAACUUCAGAGGAGGAGAGCGGUGAGUCUUCCUCUUGUCUUUGGGUAGCGAUUCCACUGGCCCACUGCGCUAUCGUUGUUUUGUUUUGCCCCCCCCCCCCCCCCCCCCCCCCCCAUGUAUAUGUACGUGUGUGCGCGUGUCUGUGUGUUCCUUCCCUCCCCCCACCUUGUACAAUGAAUGCGGCUUCCCCAUUUGGCCCCGUCUUGUUUCUUCUAGAGUAUGUGCUGUUUGUAUGCCCGUCCGCGUGCUGCUGUGUUCUUCGUAGUGGUUGCUAGUCCUCUCGUCAAGAGUGCGGAUGGAUGCCCUUUUCCUGGCCAUCGCGCCCUCCCUCUGUACCCGCUCUGCAUGGCGCUUUCUUUCUCUGUGUUCUCCACUCAGUACACACUCCACUCUUCCACCUUUUCCCAGAGAGCUCAGCGCAUAGCGCUCGAUUCCCUGCCGAAGAACAAACG